AUUGAACGCUGGCGGCAGGCCUAACACAUGCAAGUCGAACGAAGUCUUCGGACUUAGUGGCGGACGGGUGAGUAACACGUGGGAACGUGCCUUUAGGUUCGGAAUAACUCAGGGAAACUUGUGCUAAUACCGAAUGUGCCCUUCGGGGGAAAGAUUUAUCGCCUUUAGAGCGGCCCGCGUCUGAUUAGCUAGUUGGUGAGGUAAAGGCUCACCAAGGCGACGAUCAGUAGCUGGUCUGAGAGGAUGAUCAGCCACAUUGGGACUGAGACACGGCCCAAACUCCUACGGGAGGCAGCAGUGGGGAAUCUUGCGCAAUGGGCGAAAGCCUGACGCAGCCAUGCCGCGUGAAUGAUGAAGGUCUUAGGAUUGUAAAAUUCUUUCACCGGGGACGAUAAUGACGGUACCCGGAGAAGAAGCCCCGGCUAACUUCGUGCCAGCAGCCGCCGUAAUAC
rnacentral:rRNA from 1 species